rnacentral:rRNA from 1 species
UUGGAGGGCAAGUCUGGUGCCAGCAGCCGCGGUAAUUCCAGCUCCAAUAGCGUAUAUUAAAGUUGUUGCAGUUAAAAAGCUCGUAGUUGAAUUUCGGGAUCGAUGGGUCGGUCAUGCCCUCGGUAUGUACUGGUCUCAUUGGUUCUCACCUUCUAAGGAACCAUGAUGUCAUUCGGUUGAUGUUGUGGGGAAUUAGGACUGUUACCUUGAAAAAAUUAGAGUGUCUAAAGCAGGCCAACGCUUGAAUACAUUAGCAUGGAAUAAUGAAAUAGGACAUCCGAUUCUAUUUUGUUGGUUUCUAGGAUCGAUGUAAUGAUUAAUAGGGAUAGUUGGGGGCAUUAGUAUUCAAUUGUCAGAGGUGAAAUUCUUGGAUUUAUUGAAGACUAACUACUGCGAAAGCAUUUGCCAAGGAUGUUUUCAUUAAUCAAGAACGAAAGUUAGGGGAUCGAAGACGAUCAGAUACCGUCGUAGUCUUAACCAUAAACUAUGCCGACUAGGGAUCGGAUGAUGCUUAUUUUUUAAUGACUCAUUCGGCGCCUUACGGGAAAC